GAACGCACAUUGCGCCCUCUGGUAUUCCGGGGGGCAUGCCUGUUCGAGCGUCAUUUUCACCCCUCAAGCUCAGCUUGGUAUUGGGUGCCUCGCCUUUCCCCCCCCCCGAGCAUUCGUGCCCGCGGUGGAGAGCGACGCCCGAAAUUCAGCGGCGGUGCGGCCGGAUUCCCUAGCGCAGUGACUUUUUACAACGCUACAAGGAGUUCGCGACAUCGUAUCGGCCGGACAACAACCAAAUUUAUUAUCACGAUUGACCUCGGAUCAGGUAGGGAUACCCGCUGAACUUAA
rnacentral:misc_RNA from 1 species